rnacentral:rRNA from 1 species
AUUGAACGCUGGCGGCAGGCCUAACACAUGCAAGUCGAGCGAGCGGCGGACGGGUGAGUAAUGUCUGGGAAACUGCCUGAUGGAGGGGGCUAACUACUGGAAACGGUAGCUAAUACCGCAUACCAUCAGAUAUGCCCAGAUGGGAUUAGCUAGGAGGUGGGGUAACGGCUCACCUAGGCGACGAUCCCUAGCUGUUCUGAGAGGAUGACCAGCCCCCCUGGAACUGAGACACGGCCCGGACUCAUACGGGAGGGGGCAGUGGGGAAUAGUGCACUGUGGGCUCAAGCUUGAUGCAGCCAAGCCGCGUGUGUGGAGAAGGGCAUCGUGUUGGAGAGCUCUUUCAGCUGUGAGGCGUUACCCGAAGAAGAAGCACCGGCUAACUCCGUGCCAGCAGCCGCGGUAAUUC